AGAAAGUUAUUGAUGUACUUCACCAAUGUUGCUUACCCUCUUGAAACCUACUUCCACACAGUAAUAUGCAGCUCGCCUGAGUUCCAAAACACAACAUUGGACAAUGAUCUAAGGUACAUUAUUUGGAGAACCCCUAGGCAAGGGGAACCGGAAAAUCUAAGCACAUCGCACUAUGAUGAAAUGGUAGCUAGUGCAGCAGCUUUUGCACAACCAAUAGGUGAAGGUGAUCCACUGCUAAACAAGAUCGAUGAAGAUGUCCUAAACCGCCUACCCCAUAAAAUAGUGCCUGGAAGCUGGGCCAUUUGUCAAGGUAGGAACGAGAGCAUGAGAGGUGAGGAGUUAUGUUCUACUUGGGGAGACAUUGAUGCUGUAAAGCCAGGUCCCAAAGGUAUCAAGCUUGCUGCUCUGCUCUCCAAGCUUGUUGCAGAAAGGAGACUUCCACCUAGUCAGUGCCAUUAGCAGCAACAAUAGAUUAGAGCAAAAAAAAAGAAAGGAAAGAAACUUGGCCUAUUCCAUUUUUAAGUCAAUAUGGGCCGCGUGAUAGCAUCAGGGAUUGUUCAUUUCCCAGCACAUUGGCAGCUCUUGAUGGCCAAAUAUCUGUAAUUACACCUCAGCGAAUUGUCAAAUCAACAGGACAGAAUACCUCCUGAUCUUUCGCUUUCUUGAGUAGCACACAAUGUGCAUGAGUUAUCAAUUAGUUACUAGGCCAAUAUCAAAGGAAACAAGGAGGGGUAUAUGUCAUAAUUAUUAUACUUUCAGAGGCUCCAUUUGAACAUUUGAAUAUGUUUGCUUUUUGCUAUUUAAAAAUAUAAUAAUAUAAAAGAUAUAUUCAAAUUAAAUUUUAUAUUUUUAUUUUUAUUUAAAUAAAUUUUUAUGAUUAAUAAUUAAUUAAAUAUCAUUUGUCAUUUAUGUCUAUAUGACGUUAAUCUAAUGUUGAUAUGAAAAGUAAAAUUAUCAUAUAGAUAUAUCAUUAUAUCAUAUCAACAUAUCACAUCAUAUCAGCAUAUCAUGUCAUGAUUCAUUAUGAUAUAUUAGCAUGUCAUGUUAGCUUCAUAUGAAAUAAAAUUAUAAGUGACUUUUUUACUAAAUCACUCAUUAAUUAUAAGAACUUAUUUGAUUCAAAAUGAAAGUAUAAUGUUGAUAUGAAAGGUAAAAUUGUCACAUAGAUAUAUCAUUGUAUCCUAUCAACAUAUCACAUCAUAUCAGCAUAUCAUGUCAUGAUUCAUUAUGACAUAUUAGCAUGUCAUGUUAGCUUCAUAUGAAAUAAAAUUAUAAGUUACUUUUUUACUAAAUCACCCAUUAAUUAUAAGAACUUAUUUGAUUCAAAAUGAAAGUAUAAGAAUUUGAUUAAACUCAAUAAAAGAAUAAGAACUUCUUUAAAUUUUUUUGAAUGAUUUAUCAUUUUCUUAAAUAUUAUAUCUUUACAAAAUAAUUAAAACAAAAGAAAAUAGUAAACAUAUCAACCAAAAGAAUCUAAAUUUCAAAUUAGAUCAUUGAGAUUUAAAACUAAAAGUAGUAUUAUCAACUUCAAAGUGAUAUACUAUGAUCAAAUCAUGAUUAGCAUUUGGACCUGACCCAAUUAAAAUUAGGUUAGGCCCAAUUACCAAAAAAUGUUAUUUUAAUUUUUUGGCAAAAAAAUCCUAUAAAUAUAUUUUCUAUGGUUUUAACUUUAAAUAAUAUAAAAUUAUUAUUUUUCCUCAUUUGAAUUGUUUAGCCAUUUAAAAUAUUAAGCUGCAAUAAAAUAUUUAAGACAUAGAACUUGAUUGAUUUUUUGCUUACUUGAAAGCAAAUUUUGUAUUCAAUAUCAAAAUUUGUUUUAAAUUGUUUUAAAAUUAAAAGUAACUAUUAUAUAUCUGAAGAAUUCUUUUGUACAAACACAACAUAAAUAGAUGUUCAUAUGCCAACACUAUACACAAAAUUUAUAGUAUAUAUCUAAUAUCUUUACAUAAUAGACUACCAUGUUAUUUCAAAAAUAUAAAAUAUUGUUUUAUAUUUGUGAUAUAUAUAUAUAUAUAUAAAUAGUGUUUAAAUUCACUUAUUUAUUUACACCACUAGCAACAUUCAACAAACUCACUUAAUUUCAAAUCAAUUAUAAUUUGUUCAAAUUUAAAAUAAACCAAAGUCCGAAAUGAACUGAUCCAAACUCAUAAAAUUGCCAUCAUAAACUAUUUAAUUAACAGGAGCCAAUGGCUUUGUGCUUAAUUUGAUCAAAUGAAAUUACUCAUAAAAUUGUAUUAAGUCAAUUAGAGUUUUAAUUAAAAAGCAAGGGUUUAACCUAUUAUUGUAUGUCACGACCCGGUACUCCCCUCGAACCCGUGACAAUCGUCGCAGUGCCCCGAUAGACACUUAUUACCCGAAGUGCUAACCAGAACCCCGCAAGACUUAAUAUAAAUUUCUCAUUUCCCCUGUGAGUAACCGUCGCCGAAUAUCAUGUUCUAAAAGAUUUUAAACUGUUUUCAAUUUAAAACAAAUAAAAUAAUAAUUUUCGUCUCACAGAGGUAUUUUGGUCAUUUUUUUCAAAAAUUUUGAAACCUAGUUAAAAUGUAACAUACGAGUACAAAACACAUAAUUCAUAAUCAAAAAUGAGUUUUAAAAUCUAAAAUCUUCAUUUAAAAGGAAAUUUUGAUUAUUUGGAUAUAAUAAGAAAAUAAAAGAAAUAUUAAGUAAAAUAUUUUAUUUUCUUAUAAAAUAAUAUUUUUAAGAUACUGCGUAAAUAAUUUUUAUAGCGUAAAAGUUAAAUAAAUUCAUACAUACUGUAAUACAGUAAGCCAGAGUACUUAAUUUAAUUUACAAUAACAAGUGGACCUCCCGAAUAAACAAAAGUAAAGAGGAUUAUGAACCUAUAGUUUGGAAAAUGCAAGUCCAAUAAUAAUCAUCGAUGAGAUCAGCUAUCUACAGCCUAUUCUGAGCCUGAAAUGGAUGGAAAGGGGGUGGUGAGAUUAUAAAAUUUCAGUGAGUAAACAGACAUCAUCAUAAACAUUUAGAGUUGAGUACAUGGAAACGAUCAAGUAAAUCAUCGUAAACUGGGUCACAGCAUUAGAACACAUUUCACUCAAAAUAUGUAAAGAGGCUUAUGAAUCUUAUAAAACUAGGCUUGUGCUAUAAAUCCAUUCUCGGGGACACCUUGGCUGAGGCAUCCUACCGAGACCGUCAAGACUGUUAAAAAUUCACAUUUCAUAUAAUAUUAUGUUUUUAUUUUGAAAACAUAGUCGUUCCUUGGCGUUGGCUAAGUUCUCCCUCACGUAGAGGUUUGGCGUGAAGUGAACCUUAAGCUUUACCCCAGGAGAUACCCUACAGAAACCUCUAAUGGGGUUUACCAUGCCCCUCUAAAAGGCUGGUCUACAGAAACCUCCUACUGCAGUGAUUAAUUAAUAUAUAAUCCACCAGUUCAAUAAAAUUCACAAUAACAUGACAUGACAAUUAUUUUCUUCGCAGCCUUUCAAAGCAAACAAAUAAUCUGUAUUUCAAUACAAUUGCUAACCAGCCAAUCAUGCCUGAUUUAUCAUAAGCCAAUGUCUUUUCCAAUAUCUUAAUUCACCAAACACAAGUCAAAUAAUCUAAAAUUUGGCAAAACUAUCUUCACUUUUCUUCUUGAAAUUUUCGAUCAGUAAUGGUGCAUUAACACCAUGAUUUUUCCUACUACUUUUUCACACCAUAAUUCAUCAUUUUCUAACCAAUUCUCUUAAAAUAAAAAUCAAAUUUAUCCUCGCUCAACACAAGGUAGGUUCGACCAUUGAUGGGUGGUGGGGAAUAUGAACUCUUUUCCUGUUGUUUUUGUUUCUAAACAUGGUAAACUAACUAAAAAUACUAACAUAACUUAGAAUCAAAUCAAUCUAACAUCAUUCUCUCUUCAUACUCAUUCCGACCAGUCAUGAAUUCAUCAUGAAAACAUGUAAUUUAAUCAUGAAAAAUGAGGAAAAAUGCAUGGAAAAGGUAAAUCACAAGUCAAAAUCAAAAAAUUUUUACCUUUUGUCACUUGUUUCCUUGAAUUUUCACACUUUUUCUCUUGAAAUUCUUCACCUAGGGUUUGUUCUCUUCCUUUUCUUCUUUUUUUCUUCUUUGGUCUUGGUUUGGCUGGCCAUAUGAAAAAAAAUAGGUUGAUU
rnacentral:lncRNA from 1 species